CAUAUCUUAGUUUAAUUUAGAAUGAGGAUUUUGGGGAUCUUUGGUCUCGUUAUGAGAGAUUUGG
rnacentral:tRNA from 1 species